rnacentral:tRNA from 1 species
UCUAAUUUAGCAUAUAUUUAAUGCAUAGGAUUGUAAAUCCUUUUAAAACUUUUGUUAAUUAGGU